GAUCCUGGCUCAGAUUGAACGCUGGCGGCAGGCCUAACACAUGCAAGUCGAGCGGAUGAAGGGAGCUUGCUCCUGGAUUCAGCGGCGGACGGGUGAGUAAUGCCUAGGAAUCUGCCUGGUAGUGGGGGAUAACGUCCGGAAACGGGCGCUAAUACCGCAUACGUCCUGAGGGAGAAAGUGGGGGAUCUUCGGACCUCACGCUAUCAGAUGAGCCUAGGUCGGAUUAGCUAGUUGGUGGGGUAAAGGCCUACCAAGGCGACGAUCCGUAACUGGUCUGAGAGGAUGAUCAGUCACACUGGAACUGAGACACGGUCCAGACUCCUACGGGAGGCAGCAGUGGGGAAUAUUGGACAAUGGGCGAAAGCCUGAUCCAGCCAUGCCGCGUGUGUGAAGAAGGUCUUCGGAUUGUAAAGCACUUUAAGUUGGGAGGAAGGGCAGUAAGUUAAUACCUUGCUGUU
rnacentral:rRNA from 1 species